rnacentral:sRNA from 1 species
UCCAUGGGCGACGAUAACCACUCACCAUC